rnacentral:lncRNA from 1 species
GGAAUAGCCAGCUUCCUCCGGGACGGAAGCAAAGGUGGAGAGUCAACUGUCUCCAAUUCUGUAAACAGCAUGGCCUUGUCGCCCAGCGGGACGUCACUCUGGCUGCUGCUGGAGAUUCCGCCUUAUGUAAGCAAGAUCUCACAGCGCUGCCUGUGACCCCAUCUGUCUUUUUCACAAGAAAAGCAACACGGGAAACAGAGGGAGCUCGGGACCCCCAAGAGCUCUGAGGUGAAUUUGCUGUCACCUGUCCUCUGCCCCAUCUCACACAGUCUGGGCCACUUUCGACUCCCAGCCCUGGGGCUGGCUAUUCUAAGAUCUGUGCUGGGUACACGUGGAAAGCCUAGAAGAAAAGGUCAAGGUCAGGAACCAGCCUGAGCAUGGAGCCCAAGGUGGACAGCAACCGCUGGCUCAGGAGGGCCACAAAUGGCGGUAAAGGCAACAUCGCAUGCGGGGCCACUUCUAAAGGGCACGUUGCAUUCCCAUCACAGGCACUGUCAAUUUGCAUGAAGAUGUUUUUCCAGCAGAUGACAGGAAGUGUCUUAAGAAAGAGUCUUUUUCUAAUUUGCGCAGACCCCUUCUGGGCCAGCAGCAGUUCUGACUUUGGCCACUAAUCGCCAGGGAGCUUCUGCCUGUAACAGUGGAGAAAAACACACCACCUUCUGGGACAAAGUGGGACUUCAAGAAGAAGGGAAAUGUAAAC